AGCGUUGUCCGGAUUUAUUGGGCGUAAAGAGCGUGUAGGCGGCCGUACAGGUCAGCUGUGAAAACUCGAGGCUCAACCUCGAGACGUCGGUUGAAACCGUACGGCUAGAGUCCGGAAGAGGAGAGUGGAAUUCCCGGUGUAGCGGUGAAAUGCGUAGAUAUCGUAAGGAAGACCAGUGGCGAAGGCGGGUCUCUGGACAGUUCCUGACGCUGAGGCACGAAGGUCAGGGGAGCAAACGGG
rnacentral:rRNA from 1 species